rnacentral:rRNA from 1 species
GACGAACCGUGCGAACGUUGUUCGGAUUCACUGGGCUUAAAGGGCGCGUAGGCGGGCCGCCAAGUCUGUGGUGAAAGCCCCCGGCUUAACCGGGGAAGUGCCGCGGAUACUGGCGGUCUCGAGGGGUGCAGGGGCAUGCGGAACUUCCGGUGGAGCGGUGAAAUGCGUAGAUAUCGGAAGGAACGCCGGUGGCGAAAGCGGCGUGCUGGACAACUACUGACGCUGAGGCGCGAAAGCCAGGGGAGCAAACGGG